UACGUAGGGGGCAAGCGUUGUCCGGAUUUAUUGGGCGUAAAGAGCUCGUAGGCGGUUUGUCGCGUCUGCUGUGAAAACCCGAGGCUCAACCUCGGGCCUGCAGUGGGUACGGGCAGACUAGAGUGCGGUAGGGGAGAAUGGAAUUCCUGGUGUAGCGGUGGAAUGCGCAGAUAUCAGGAGGAACACCGAUGGCGAAGGCAGUUCUCUGGGCCGUAACUGACGCUGAGGAGCGAAAGCGUGGGGAGCGAACAGG
rnacentral:rRNA from 1 species